UACAGAGGUCUCAAGCGUUGUUCGGAUUCAUUGGGCGUAAAGGGUGCGUAGGCGGCGCGGUAAGUCGGGUGUGAAAUCUCGGGGCUUAACUCCGAAACUGCAUUCGAUACUGCCGUGCUUGAGGACUGGAGAGGAGACUGGAAUUUACGGUGUAGCGGUGAAAUGCGUAGAUAUCGUAAGGAAGACCAGUGGCGAAGGCGGGGUCU
rnacentral:rRNA from 1 species